CCUACGGGGUGCAGCAGUGAGGAAUAUUGGUCAAUGGGCGCGAGCCUGAACCAGCCAAGCCGCGUGAGGGAGGACGUCCCUCCGGGUUGUAAACCUCUUUUGCCGGGGAGCAACGGGCGCCACGUUUGGCGUCACUGAGAGUACCCGGAGAACAAGCAUCGGCUAACUCCGUUCCAGCAGCCGCGGUAAUACGGGGGCUGCGAGGGUUUUCGGGAUUUAUGGGGGUUAAAGGGUGCGUGGGCGGGUCCUUAAGCCGGUGGUAAAAUUACGGGGCUAAACCCCUUCCCGCCAUUGAAACUGGCGUGCUGGAGUGGGAGAGAGGUAUGCGGAAUGCGUGGUGUAGCGGUGAAAUGCAUAGAUAUCACGCAGAACCCCGAUUGCGAAGGCAGCAUGCCGGCUUCCGACUGACGCUGAGGCACGAAAGCGUGGGGAUCGAACAGGAUUAGAUACCCUAGUAGUC
rnacentral:rRNA from 1 species